GGGAGAGACCAUUCGUCAGCUGAUUCACUGGAGCCGGAGAGGAGGAGAGAAGAGAAGAGGCGCGCUUCCUGGACCACACCAUCCCCGAAACGGACCUGGUUGCACAUGGACGGCCUAUCAAUCACUCUGCGGCUCCUUCUCCGGCAGAGCUCAGCCAAUCACAAGUGAUUGGGUUUAAUCUAACAUGAUGUGUCAGAGCACGAAUGAGUGUGUGCAUUAAUGUGUUAGCAUGCAUAUGCACAUGUACGCAUUUGUGUGUGUUUUCGGGGAGCUGUUUGGUCUGAAUGAGGUAAUAGAUGUUGUCGGCCUCCUGCAGACACAGACACACACACACACACACACACAGUUAUCUACCUUUUCUUUACGGUUUAUGACCAAUAAGUUGUUUUCCACAUGUUGUGAGGGUCAGUGUGCAUGUAGCAUGUAGUCUCCCACACGUGCAAUUAAAUCUUCUAUUGCGGAUA